AUAUAUAUGAUUUGGAUAUUUAUUACAUCAGCAUAGAUUGAUCACAUUUCCAGUAUGAGAGGUGGUCAUCUUACAGAUGCUUACUCCAUGUACAGACGUGCAUCAACUAAAGAUCAGUUUACUGAUUAUGAAGAUAGACAAGAGAAUAUAGGUUUUCCACUUCACAAGUUGAAUGAAUUGGGAAAAGAUUGAAUACCAACAAUUUCUUAUUUCGCUGUCUACUCCAAAGUCCAGUGAUGCAAAUCGAAAAUACGCUUACUUCACUCGUGGAUGGAGAAGCACCAGGCAAACAUUUGGUAUCUUUUCAUAUUAGAUUUUUAUGGAGCUGAAGUUGUAAACUUUAGGUUAUUGAAAUUGAGAUUGUUAAUUAUGUGUGACAUGAAUUUAGAUUUGUUCUGUUUUGU